GGCAGUGUGUGACAGACUGAUACAAGUGGGUCUCCUGAGAAAUCCAAUUGUAGUCCCACAUGAGAUGGAGGCUCAGACAGUCACGUGGUUGUUUUUUCUGGCCCUAAUAAAAUAUGUUUCUACAAAUAAGCCUGGAAUUCCCGGGGAAUGUAUGUACAAUCAAAAUCUGAACAUUAAAAUACAUUUC